UACGUAGGGUGCGAGCGUUAAUCGGAAUUACUGGGCGUAAAGCGUGCGCAGGCGGUUCGCUAAGACCGAUGUGAAAUCCCCGGGCUUAACCUGGGAACUGCAUUGGUGACUGGCGGGCUAGAGUGUGGCAGAGGGGGGUAGAAUUCCACGUAUAGCAGUGAAAUGCGUAGAGAUGUGGAGGAAUACCGAUGGCGAAGGCAGCCCCCUGGGCUAACACUGACGCUCAUGCACGAAAGCGUGGGGAGCAAACAGG
rnacentral:rRNA from 1 species